rnacentral:rRNA from 1 species
AGCAGCAGCCACGGUAAUACGUAGGGUGCAAGCGUUAAUCGGAAUUACUGGGCGUAAAGCGUGCGCAGGCGGUUUGUUAAGUCUGAUGUGAAAGCCCCGGGCUCAACCUGGGAAUGGCAAUGGAUACUGGCGAGCUAGAGUGUGUCAGAGGAUGGUGGAAUUCCCGGUGUAGCGGUGAAAUGCGUAGAGAUCGGGAGGAACAUCAGUGGCGAAGGCGGCCAUCUGGGACAACACUGACGCUGAGGCACGAAAGCGUGGGGAGCAAACAGGAUUAGAUACCCCAGUAGUCCCUGUCUCUUAUAC